rnacentral:piRNA from 1 species
UAAAUAUGUUUUUGGCUUUAGGAAA